AACGAACGCUGGCGGCAUGCCUAACACAUGCAAGUCGAACGAGACCUUCGGGUCUAGUGGCGCACGGGUGCGUAACGCGUGGGAACCUGCCCUUAGCGUCGGAAUAACUCCCCGAAAUGGGUGCUAAUACCGGAUAAUGUCUUCGGACCAAAGAUUUAUCGCCUUUGGAUGGGCCCGCGUUGGAUUAGCUAGUUGGUAGGGUAAAAGCCUACCAAGGCGACGAUCCAUAGCUGGUCUGAGAGGAUGAUCAGCCACACUGGGACUGAGACACGGCCCAGACUCCUACGGGAGGCAGCAGUGGGGAAUAUUGGACAAUGGGCGAAAGCCUGAUCCAGCAAUGCCGCGUGAGUGAUGAAGGCCUUAGGGUUGUAAAGCUCUUUUACCCGGGAUGAUAAUGACAGUACCGGGAGAAUAAGCUCCGGCUAACUCCGUG
rnacentral:rRNA from 1 species